CCCUAACAAAGAUGUGAUGUGUGAAGGAUGCUUACUUACCCAGACUAUGACCUUUGCCAUUCUAGGGAGAGUUACAGGAAUAGUGCAGGGUUUAAGAUAUUAUCCUACACAGAUGGAAGACCAACCAGAGCAGCCCUAAUUUUCCAUGAGGCUAUAUAUAAUGUGGUAAAAUCGUGGGGACUUAAUUCCAUCAUAUGGAGGGUUACUGAAUGUAUCAGAGACAGCCUGCAGUUCAUCACCACACAAAUUAGGAGCAACGUAAGAAGAGAAAAAGAAAAAGGAAUUACAGAUUAAAAAAUGCAAGAGAAUAUAAACAAAAACAUGUUCAACUGGAAUUUGUAUUGGGAUUGUAUUAAAUGGAUGAACUAAUUUGUGAAGAAAUGAUAUCAUUCCAUCCAAGAGCAUGGAACUCCUAUUUUUCCUAUUGUCUUCUAUGUUUCUUUUUAAAAAGGUUUAAGUUUUCUCUGUAGAGUUUUUUGCAUUCUGGAUGAUUUUAAUUGAAACAUACUGUAUAGAUAUUGUUACUAUUAUAAGUGGUGCCUCUUAUUAGAUUUUGUAAUUCAUUAUGAUUGGUAAAGCAAAUAGGAUAGAUUUUGAACCUAGAAAACUGCCUCAAUUACCUCAUUACUUCAAAAAGUAUUGCCAUUGGUUCUAUUGCUUUUUUUAAAAAAAACAUGAUAAUAUCUUCUGCACAUUAUGAAAUUUUAUCUCAACACUUUCAAUCACCGCAUCUCUGUUUGACACCGAUGAACACUUCCAAAGUGAAAUAUUUUGCUCUCUUUAUUUUUCUCCUUUUGCUUUUUGGGGCCUCUUUACUUUCUAAACUUGUCACUUCUUGGUUUAUCUUCCAUACCUCUUGGCUUUUCUUUUGUGUAGUAUACUUUAGCUUCAUUCUGGGAGAGUUUUUCAUUCUGAACUUUUCGAUUUACUAGUUUAUUCUCCAUCAGUAUGUUUGCUAAUUUUUCUUCCAUUGACUGCUUUUCCCAAAUACUUAUUUUUCAUACUUUAUAUUUUCACUUGGAAUUUGGGGGGAAUAUUUUGUUCUAGUUUCAAAUUGAUCCUAUAUUUUUUGUCUCCUUAAGUAUAUUUAUCAGGCUUAUUUUAAAUUCUUGAUUUAUGUGUUAUAAUAAUGCUACCUUAGAUGGCAUAUGCUGCUCAAUUUUUCUUUCCCUUUUCCACUCUAGUAGUGGUAGUCCUCUGGCUUCUGGUUAUUUUUGUCUCUAGAGUUAUGUUAUGUUAUUAUAACAGAUGUGAGAAAGGGCCCAAAACCAGGUUUUAGCCUGUGUCUGCUCUAAUGAGUUAAUGUGAUUACUAUGGAUGAUCUUCAGAGUAGAAUACAAUAAGCAAUUGUUGUUUAUUACAAGUUUCGAGUUUAUAACUGUGAAAUCUACUGUGCUUCCUAAUUUAGCACCUUUAACAAUCUAUGAUCUAGGCUAUUGCUUCCAACUUUUAAAGUUUAAGGGAAGACACUGAUUGUCCCAAGGAAAUGUGGUCAGAGGAAAUAACAGAGGUAAUACUCAAAAUAAGAAAUACUCGAAAUAAGUUAAUGUGAAAAAUAAUAGUAUAGAAGCAGCUCAAGAAGGAAAUGAUGAGUUGCAAGAUCAGAUUGAAGAACUGUUCCAGAAGGCAGCAAGAAACAAUAAUGUAAAAUUUUAAAAAUUAAUAAUAAUAACAAAAAACUAAAAGACAUGGAGGAUAGAAAUAGAUAUAUAUGGUGUGUUGUAUGAGAUGAGUCAGUUAGCUUAUGAGCAAGCAACCCAACCAUAUCUAAACAUAUAUCUGAGUAUGCUUUAACUCAUGUACUUACAAAAUUGCAUUUCUUAGUGAAAAAAAAAUCAAGAAAGAAAACAAUUCCUAAGGUUAGUGAUGAAAGUAUAAAGUCAAGAGAUAAACUAGUGAUUUUCAAAAAAAAAAAAAAGUAACUUUAGAGUGGCAAAUCAAAUGUCACUCUGUUCAUACAAGAUUCAUGAAACUGUUUCAGAGAGGGUUUUGUUCCUUGCAAAAGUUGUUCACCCACAAGAGACAGAUUUUGUAAAAUUUAAAAUGUAGCUAAUUUUCCAUGUGAUUAGGCAGUGUAAUUUAAAGAAACUCAAGAUUUUCUACAAAUAAUUUUUUGAGGCAAGAAGAUGCUAAAGUCACUUGUACUUCCACUAAACUUUACUAAAAGUUGGUUUGAACACUUUAAUUGCUUUUGAAUAGAUGAUUGAAGCUGUGAAGAGGUGGCAGCAGCUGACAUGUUGCCAUGGUAGCAUUUCCUCCCCAGCUGAGGAGGCUAUACAGAAGAAAGGAUAUAGGUCAGAAAGUGUUUAUACUGACAAAACAACCGCAUAUUAAAAUCAAAUGCUUUUGUAAACAUCAUAAGCCAAAUGAGAGUUGUGAAAUCUAGUUUCAGGCUAUUAAAGACAGACUGAUUUAUCUUUAGGAUGAUGUAUCAAGCUGUACGGUGAGAAUGGAGCAUUCAAGGUCAAGAAUACUCUCCUUCCUGCAUAUUGGCAAUUCAAUUUUAAAAGAUUGAAACACGAUGAAAGUGUUUCCAUCAGUUUCUUCUGUGUUCCUCGCAAUAAGGAUAUAUUUAAUUGAAAAAUUCUUCUGGAAGGUAGUUCAUCUCUGAAUAAACUACUCCAGGGUAAGGAGGAUCAACUCUAUGAUCAAUAAAUAUCUGUUGGUUAAUUACUUUUGUACUCUGACAAAAUUUUAUAAAUGCAAUUAAGGAAGAUCUAACUACAAUGAGAGAGGGAAUAAGAGAGAGAAAGGUGGGAAGAAAUGGAGUAAAGUUGGCCAGUAGUUCAGUGGGGAGACAGAAUGAAAGAAAUAUGAUGGAAAGAAGGAAGGAAAGAAAAAGGGAAGAAAGGAAGGAAGGAAGGAGAUAGGUAGGGAGGGAGGGAGGAAGUGAGGGAGGGAAGGAGGGAAGGGCGGGCACUAGGAAGUGUCAGUCUUCCUGAUGAAAGGAAGAGGGUGCCAUUUGCAAGACAGUGGCUGAAAUGGAAAUUUGUAAAUUGCCUUAACAGCAUUAAUCAUUCC
rnacentral:lncRNA from 1 species